ensembl:lncRNA
AAAAUAGACACAUCAUAAUGAAACUACAGAACACCAAAAACAGAGUAAAGAACAAGAUGGCAGAGGAGUAGGUGGACGUGAAGUACAUCUCUCUCCAUGGAUACAUCAGGAAUAUGCCUUUAAGACACAGAAGUGCAUGCAGAACACCAGCUGAGAGCAGAUAGGAGUAUCUGACCAGUGGAAAAGAAUAUAUAGAACCAUGCAAAACUUAGUAGGAUGAAGGAACUAGGGGGGAAAACAGGAGUGUUAGUAGCACUGGACCUGCCCUCGGUGGGUGGGGGAACUGAGGCAGAGGUCCCAUCCCCACAUCAGGGCAAUUGUCUGAGUCAGAGGAGAAACAUUCAAGGCUGUGAGUGAAACAGCUGAUCUGUGGCAGCCUAAAUGGAAUGAGAAUCAGACAGUCCUUGAUGCAGCCAUGCAGACCCCAGACAGGGACACGGGUCCCCAGGAAGGCACAGCAUCUGGGAGCUGGAGUUUAGAAAUUGUGGAGCAAUCCCAGGGUGAGGGCUGCUAUUGACUAUGGAGAGAUGGAUUGAGGGGAUGUGAAGGAGGAGAUCGUGGUGGGAAAUGCCUGUGGAGGAAAGCCAGGCAAGAAUACUGGAGGGUAUUGCCAGUACUGGUUGCCAUACCCUUAUAGAGCACUAUAUUUCCUGCUGCCCUAGCCGCCAACUCCCCUGAGUACCUGGUGCUGCCAGAACCCCUGAGACCCAAGCAGCUAUACCACCUCCACACCUGGCCUUCACCGGGGCAAACCCAAGUCCUCCAGAGCAAACCCCAGUGGACGACCCACAGGCAGAGGUGGAAAUAAAACCGCAAUUGAAACCCAGGGGCAGUGUGGCUAAGGAAGAAGAUCCAAAACCUUCCCACCAGCUGUACAAGCUGCAGAUUAAAUCCACACAAUCAACUAGGCAGACUCUGUGUCUAUGGAAUAUACAAAAUGUCAUUAAGAGCUCCCACAAAAGAAAAUGUGUUAGUCUUGAUAGCUGUGGACACUGGAGGCAAGAACACACAGGAGAAGGACCAGAUUAGAAUCUGAGCUGCCUCCACAGCAGAUCCAGAGAUAAGAACAGUGUUGGACAGCAUCCUAGGGAGCUAAGGUGGACUGUGACUCCCAGCAUGGUAAAGGACUCUGACAGCAGUUACUCAAGAAAAGCAUUUAUUAUUCUUAUAUUUUGACUUGUUCUGUAGAUUCUUUUGGAUUUCUUUCCCUCCCCCCACCAACCCCGCCCUGUUGUAGUUGUUG